CGCGUGUACUGGUCCGGCCGGGCCUUUCCCUCUGUGGAACCCCAUGCCCUUCACUGGGCGUGGCGGGGAAACAGGACUUUUACUGUGAAAAAAUUAGAGUGCUCCAGGCAGGCCUAUGCUCGAAUACAUUAGCAUGGAAUAAUAGAAUAGGACGUGUGGUUCUAUUUUGUUGGUUUCUAGGACCGCCGUAAUGAUUAAUAGGGACAGUCGGGGGCAUCAGUAUUCAAUUGUCAGAGGUGAAAUUCUUGGAUUUAUUGAAGACUAACUACUGCGAAAGCAUUUGCCAAGGAUGUUUUCAUUAAUCAGGAACGAAAGUUAGGGGAUCGAAGACGAUCAGAUACCGUCGUAGUCUUAACCAUAAACUAUGCCGACUAGGGAUCGGACGAUGUUAUUUUUUGACUCGUUCGGCACCUUACGAGAAAUCAAAGUGCUUGGGCUCCAGGGGGAGUAUGGUCGCAAGGCUGAAACUUAAAGAAAUUGACGGAAGGGCACCACCAGGGGUGGAGCCUGCGGCUUAAUUUGACUCAACACGGGGAAACUCACCAGGUCCAGACACAAUGAGGAUUGACAGAUUGAGAGCUCUUUCUUGAUUUUGUGGGUGGUGGUGCAUGGCCGUUCUUAGUUGGUGGAGUGAUUUGUCUGCUUAAUUGCGAUAACGAACGAGACCUUAACCUGCUAAAUAGCCCGUAUUGCUUUGGCAGUACGCUGGCUUCUUAGAGGGACUAUCGG
rnacentral:rRNA from 1 species